rnacentral:misc_RNA from 1 species
AAGAAAUAGUGACAAUUACAUUCUUCUUCACAUCCACACUAGGAACAUCGCCAAGAAGAGCAGUAAAUGGCUGCCAUAGGCCACGGGAAUUUUCUGCUCCAGUUUGAAUUGCACGUAACUUUGAGGCUGCAACCAUCUUCAUAGCCUUUGUAAUUUUCUGAAUAUUCUUGACACUCUUCAUUCGAUUUCUGACAACUUGAGUUGAGAUAGAACGUAAUCCAAGAGGGGUCUGCUCCUCAGCAAUAAGAGAGGAUCGGAUGGCGGUCAUCGGUUGGGAACUGAUGAGGGGGGCAGCGAAUCGCCUCCCUUCGCGUCUCAAAGCAGCCAUCGCCAUUGUUGAAAGAAUCUAUCAAUGAAACCCUAGCGGCCUGCGUGCUGUAGAUCCAAGCUGUUCGUUAUAGCUUCGAGCUCUAGUGUUUUUUCCACUUUAAUUCUCUUUUUUGUUAACAAUGGAAAAAUGGGAAAUACCUAUUUGCCAUUUAUAAGCGAAACGCUCUCGUCUUAAUAUUUUGUUAUGAGCAGAAGCAGAGAAGUGCAGAUGCUGCGCUGCAGUGACAAGUUUGUUAAGGGGAGGCUUAAAGGAC